UACGUAGGGGGCGAGCGUUUAUCCGGAUUUACUGGGCGUAAAGCGCGUUAAGGCGGUCGGCAAAGUUGGUUGUGAAAUCUCAGGGCUCAACCCUGAAAUUGCGACCAAUACUGGUCGACUAGAGUGCAAGAGAGGAAGGUGGAAUUCCCGGUGUAGUAGUGAAAUGCGUAGAUAUCGGGAGGAACACCAGUGGCGAAGGCGGCCUCUGGCUUGUAACUGACGCUGUAGCGCGAAAGCGUGGGGAGCGAACCGG
rnacentral:rRNA from 1 species